AUGAAGUAGCUAUUGCGAUAUUGGCUUGGUUCACUCAGACAAAACACAUACACACAGAAAAUGUGGAUUAUAUAUAUGUUUUGGUUUUGAUUGAGCCGUGCCAAUAUCUCACUGCUACUUCAU
rnacentral:pre_miRNA from 1 species